AUCUAGCCCCGAUAGAAACGAUAUCCUUUUGCGGCGGGGUUCGCCGCAAAAGAUAUAGUGAAUAGCGGGACUAAAG
rnacentral:sRNA from 1 species